GGAAGGAUCAUUAUUGAUUUUGAUUUGUUACCUUCUGUGCUGGCUCCGGCAUGUGCAUGUUGGUGACUUUCAUCCAAUACCCAUUUGUGAACCUUUGGCCUCAUGCUGGCUUUGGCUGGCAGAGGAUUUUACACAAACUUGAAUGUAACAGAAAGAUCUUGUUGUGCGCAAGCACUAAUAUACAACUUUCAACAACGGAUCUCUUGGCUCUCGCAUCGAUGAAGAACGCAGCGAAAUGCGAUAAGUAAUGUGAAUUGCAGAAUUCAGUGAAUCAUCGAAUCUUUGAACGCACCUUGCACCCAUUGGUAUUCCAAAGGGUAUGCUCGUUUGAGUGUCAUUGUACUCUCACACUCCAAUUUUGGAGAAGUGGACUUGGGUGUUGCUGCUGCGCAGUGGCUCAUCUUAAAUAUGCUAGUGCAACUCAUAGUUGGAUAUAGUACAGCGUGAUAAGUAUCUUCGCUGGCGCCUCAUGAAGAGGGUAUCUGAUUGGGAGCUCUGUGCUUCUAACAGUCCUGUCUGGGACAAUCUCUGACAACUUGGCCUCAAAUC
rnacentral:misc_RNA from 1 species